rnacentral:rRNA from 1 species
CGAACCGAGCGAACGUUGUUCGGAAUCACUGGGCUUAAAGGGCGCGUAGGCGGGUGCUCAAGUCUGUGGUGAAAUCCUCCGGCUCAACCGGAGAACGGCCAUGGAUACUGGGUGUCUCGAGGGUGGUAGGGGUAUGCGGAACUAUCGGUGGAGCGGUGAAAUGCGUUGAUAUCGAUAGGAACUCCGGUGGCGAAGGCGGCAUACUGGACCACAUCUGACGCUGAGGCGCGAAAGCCAGGGGAGCGAACGGGAUUAGAUACCCCGGUAGUCCUGGCCCUAAACGAUGGGUACUAGCUAGUAGGGUUCACAUGGCUUUACUGGCGAAGCAAAAGUGCUAAGUACCCCGCCUGGGGAGUAUGGUCGCAAGGCUG